UUAAGCGACUAAGCGUACACGGUGGAUGCCCUGGCAGUCAGAGGCGAUGAAGGACGUGCUAAUCUGCGAAAAGCGUCGGUAAGGUGAUAUGAACCGUUAUAACCGGCGAUGUCCGAAUGGGGAAACCCAGUGCAAUUCGUUGCACUAUCGUUAACUGAAUACAUAGGUUAACGAGGCGAACCGGGGGAACUGAAACAUCUAAGUACCCCGAGGAAAAGAAAUCAACCGAGAUUCCCCCAGUAGCGGCGAGCGAACGGGGAGCAGCCCAGAGUCUGAAUCAGCUUGUGUGUUAGUGGAACGGUCUGGAAAGUCCGACGGUACAGGGUGAUAGUCCCGUACACCAAAAUGCACAGGCUGUGAACUCGAAGAGUAGGGCGGGACACGUGGUAUCCUGUCUGAAUAUGGGGGGACCAUCCUCCAAGGCUAAAUACUCCUGACUGACCGAUAGUAAACCAGUACCGUGAGGGAAAGGCGAAAAGAACCCCGGCGAGGGGAGUGAAAAGAACCUGAAACCGUGUACGUACAAGCAGUGGGAGCACCUUCGGGUGUGACUGCGUACCUUUGUAUAAUGGGUCAGCGACUUAUAUUCUGUAGCAAGGUUAACCGUAUAGGGGAGCCGCAGGAAACCGAGUCUUAACUGGGCGUUAAGUUGCAGGGUAUAGACCCGAAACCCGGUGAUCUAGCCAUGGGCAGGUUGAAGGUUGGGUAACACUAACUGGAGGACCGAACCGACUAAUGUUGAAAAAUUAGCGGAUGACUUGUGGCUGGGGGUGAAAGGCCAAUCAAACCGGGAGAUAGCUGGUUCUCCCCGAAAGCUAUUUAGGUAGCGCCUCGUGAAUUCAUCUUCGGGGGUAGAGCACUGUUUCGGCUAGGGGGUCAUCCCGACUUACCAACCCGAUGCAAACUACGAAUACCGAAGAAUGUUAUCACGGGAGACACACGGCGGGUGCUAACGUCCGUCGUGAAGAGGGAAACAACCCAGACCGCCAGCUAAGGUCCCAAAGUCAUGGUUAAGUGGGAAACGAUGUGGGAAGGCACAGACAGCCAGGAUGUUGGCUUAGAAGCAGCCAUCAUUUAAAGAAAGCGUAAUAGCUCACUGGUCGAGUCGGCCUGCGCGGAAGAUGUAACGGGGCUAAACCAUGCACCGAAGCUGCGGCAGCGACACUAUGUGUUGUUGGGUAGGGGAGCGUUCUGUAAGCCUGCGAAGGUGACCUGUGAGGGUUGCUGGAGGUAUCAGAAGUGCGAAUGCUGACAUAAGUAACGAUAAAGCGGGUGAAAAGCCCGCUCGCCGGAAGACCAAGGGUUCCUGUCCAACGUUAAUCGGGGCAGGGUGAGUCGACCCCUAAGGCGAGGCCGAAAGGCGUAGUCGAUGGGAAACAGGUUAAUAUUCCUGUACUUGGUGUUACUGCGAAGGGGGGACGGAGAAGGCUAUGUUAGCCGGGCGACGGUUGUCCCGGUUUAAGCAUGUAGGCUGGUUGUCCAGGCAAAUCCGGAUAAUCAAGGCUGAGGUGUGAUGACGAGGCACUACGGUGCUGAAGUAACAAAUGCCCUGCUUCCAGGAAAAGCCUCUAAGCAUCAGGUAACAUUAAAUCGUACCCCAAACCGACACAGGUGGUCAGGUAGAGAAUACCAAGGCGCUUGAGAGAACUCGGGUGAAGGAACUAGGCAAAAUGGUGCCGUAACUUCGGGAGAAGGCACGCUGGUGUGUAGGUGAAGUCCCUGCGGAUGGAGCUGAGACCAGUCGAAGAUACCAGCUGGCUGCAACUGUUUAUUAAAAACACAGCACUGUGCAAACACGAAAGUGGACGUAUACGGUGUGACGCCUGCCCGGUGCCGGAAGGUUAAUUGAUGGGGUUAUCCGUAAGGAGAAGCUCUUGAUCGAAGCCCCGGUAAACGGCGGCCGUAACUAUAACGGUCCUAAGGUAGCGAAAUUCCUUGUCGGGUAAGUUCCGACCUGCACGAAUGGCGUAAUGAUGGCCAGGCUGUCUCCACCCGAGACUCAGUGAAAUUGAACUCGCUGUGAAGAUGCAGUGUACCCGCGGCAAGACGGAAAGACCCCGUGAACCUUUACUAUAGCUUGACACUGAACAUUGAGCCUUGAUGUGUAGGAUAGGUGGGAGGCUUUGAAGCGUGGACGCCAGUCUGCGUGGAGCCAACCUUGAAAUACCACCCUUAAUGUUUGAUGUUCUAACGUUGGCCCCUGACCGGGGUUGCGGACAGUGUCUGGUGGGUAGUUUGACUGGGGCGGUCUCCUCCCAAAGCGUAACGGAGGAGCACGAAGGUUAGCUAAUCCUGGUCGGACAUCAGGAGGUUAGUGCAAUGGCAUAAGCUAGCUUGACUGCGAGCGUGACGGCGCGAGCAGGUGCGAAAGCAGGUCAUAGUGAUCCGGUGGUUCUGAAUGGAAGGGCCAUCGCUCAACGGAUAAAAGGUACUCCGGGGAUAACAGGCUGAUACCGCCCAAGAGUUCAUAUCGACGGCGGUGUUUGGCACCUCGAUGUCGGCUCAUCACAUCCUGGGGCUGAAGUAGGUCCCAAGGGUAUGGCUGUUCGCCAUUUAAAGUGGUACGCGAGCUGGGUUUAGAACGUCGUGAGACAGUUCGGUCCCUAUCUGCCGUGGGCGCUGGAGAAUUGAGGGGGGCUGCUCCUAGUACGAGAGGACCGGAGUGGACGCAUCACUGGUGUUCGGGUUGUCAUGCCAAUGGCACUGCCCGGUAGCUAAAUGCGGAAGAGAUAAGUGCUGAAAGCAUCUAAGCACGAAACUUGCCCCGAGAUGAGUUCUCCCUGAGACUUUAAGUCUCCUGAAGGAACGUUGAAGACGACGACGUUGAUAGGCCGGGUGUGUAAGCGCAGCGAUGCGUUGAGCUAACCGGUACUAAUGAACCGUGAGGCUUAACCU
rnacentral:rRNA from 1 species